rnacentral:rRNA from 1 species
UGGCGGCGUGCCUAAUACAUGCAAGUCGAACGGUCUUUCUAUGGAAGCUUGCUCCACUGAGAAGAUAGUGGCGAACGGGUGAGUAACACGUGGGUAACCUGCCCAUAAGAGGGGGAUAACAUCCGGAAACGGGUGCUAAUACCGCAUAGUUUUCUUGAUCGCAUGAUUGAGAAAGGAAAGACGGCCUUUGUGCUGUCGCUUAUGGAUGGACCCGCGGCGUAUUAGUUAGUUGGUGAGGUAAUGGCUCACCAAGACGAUGAUACGUAGCCGACCUGAGAGGGUGAUCGGCCACAUUGGGACUGAGACACGGCCCAAACUCCUACGGGAGGCAGCAGUAGGGAAUCUUCCGCAAUGGACGAAAGUCUGACGGAGCAACGCCGCGUGAGUGAAGAAAGGUUUUCGGAUCGUAAAACUCUGUUGUCAGAGAAGAACAAGUUGGAGAGUAACUGCUCCAGCCUUGACGGUAUCUGACCAGAAAGCCACGGCUAACUACGUGCCAGCCGCUGC